rnacentral:misc_RNA from 1 species
GGACAUAUCUUGCACGCCUCACAGCGCCUACGUGGCCUCCUGCACGAGGGCGAGUCUGACUUCUUCUCCCUUUUCUCUACCGUUUAGAUUGUACUCUCCUUCCGCAUGAGAUGCUCCGCCAGCUUCCUUUUUUCCGGCGCUCCUCCGGCUUCUGCUGGCAGUGCUUCGGGUCAGCACCAGCACUCCUUGCGUCCUCCUCCUUUGUCCACGAGCCACCUCGACCGCGAAGCCCAGACAAGCCUUGAUGUCAGAAGAAUGCGCCCGCCAGUGGAUCGUCCAAGCAGCCGCAGCAGCAGUUGGCGCAGCCGUGCCCCUCGCCCUGUCACGGCUCGCCAACUCUGCCGCGCUAUUCUCGGUAUGGAUCAUGUGGGCGUCUGCACAGCAGCGGCCGGCAAGCCCUGCAGUCGCCACGCAACGCAGGAACCGCAGACUUGUGGGCUGUCGUCAGCGUCAACGUCUAGUGCGUCUGCACCGUGUGGAGAAGACCACGAAGUGCGUGGUGACAUAUACGGUUUGCGCGAGACAGUUAGCGCCGCCCGUCUGGGCGAGAGCACCAUUCAGCUGGAUGCUGCCGCGUGCCACCGCGUUGUCGUGUGCGGCCGCAUUGUGCGCUGCAUCGACGCCUUUUCCAACGGUAGCGUCGCGGCUGCAGCAGGAGCCGUCUCGUCUUCCGUGUCACCAACUGUGGUUCCAUACGACCUCUUGUGGCUCUCCGACGCCACCGGUGUCGUUUGCGUGUUGCGGCUCCGCCCUGCUCUUGUGCACGGGCGCACACCGCCUUCUUCCCCCGGUUGCUUGUGCGGCGGAUGGACAAGCGUGUCCGCGCGCGAUGUGCGCUGCGACACACUGGGCGCCGCUGGUGUUGAGCUAUCAGACGUCUUUGCCGCUGUUGACGCCGGCGGAGCUGCGCCUUCUGCCAUGUCUGCAGCGGCACGCGCGUCGCCGCCGGACCGCAACUCAUGCUCACCUGUGCCUGAGGAACGGCGGUGCCCUAGUGACUUGGGAAGUGGCGAGGUGACGACACACAAGGCCAUCAGUUGGGGCACGGACGCGACAGCAGCUAUGGUAAGCCGUGGCCUCGAGUAUGAGGAUGACUAUGCCCUCGGUGUCAACGACUACGUGGUGUGUGUAGGGUCUCUUGCCUUCGCCGACGUUGAUGUGCAAACCAGGCAUGCUCUGCAGCCGUAUGCCAGCGAUCUACGCCAGGCUACCUGGGCCACAGCCACGUCGUUGCGGUCAUCCUUCUGCGCCUUUCCGGGCGACGCGGCAUACUUCAUCGGCACUGGCGAUGCCUCGGGCGACGCGGGCUGCCGUGCGAGCGGUACAGAUGGAAGAGACGCCGCUACCGAGGAGGAGGGAGCUGCGGCUAGCGUGCGACGGCGCUCAGUGCCAGCACCGCCGCCACGGCAGGCGUUUGUGUUACUCCCAGGCAGCGAGGUGCCGCUGACGCUGGACGCGGCACGGACACAGCUGGGCUUGGUUGGAUCGCUGCCAUCGAGCGCCCAUUACCUCACCGCUGCUGAAGCCGCGCAGUGGGGCUGCACACCUUUUGAUCAUGCCGCCUCGAGCUCAGCGCUGUCGUCAUUCUCGGCAUCCGAACUCCGCGACCACGGCGGCGGAAGGAAGCUAGCGACAUCUGCCGGCUGGGCCACAUCGACGGCACACGCCUGUGCAGGGGCUGACAUGAAUGCAGUACCGCUCAUGGGCAUCAAGGGAUAUCCACGCCUCGUGCUUGACACGAAUGAAUGCUUGUUUUGGUGGCUUGCGGCGGCUGAGACGCACCUGCGCUUGCGCGCACGCGCGGCUGCGCCCCCUCAGCCAGUGUCUGAACCGACCGCUCCCUGACCCCACCCUUCGUGCAAGGAUACCGCUUAUGAAGAGACAGGGACGCUCAGCCUUUCGCUUUCUACUCUCCUUGUUUUUGUGUUCUUGUUUGCUGGGGCCCCUUACAUCCCUUGGCAUGUCUCUGCUGCGAUCUGCUACUGCGCAUGCUCGCUUUCGAUUCGGCCACGCUCACCGUCGGCAACCGCCCCCGUUCCCUACACACAGGGCACGUGAGAGAGAGAGUGACACAGGUGCUCAUCACCUCGUCAGCGCACAGCGCGCAAGGCGGCCGUCUUGUCGUCCCUCGGCAUACAGGUGCACGGCAUCUGUGGCGAAGGGCAAUACACACUGACACCUACAUGUGUCUUUUGUGUAGUGUUGCGCGUGUGGCUUUGUUUUGGUUGUUCCACGCGCCAUCGCCUGGCCGGCUCGCAGCCCUCACCACGUUUUUCUCCGCCUCCCCUCCUCCCCUCUUCCUCCUCUUGUCCGCACCUCGUUUUCGUUUCUGCUUUGCGUUGUUGGCCGGCGUUGGCGCAG